CACUCUGCCCCAGUUCUCCCGCCUGAUACACACAAAAUGCCGCUAGUCGAAGAGAGUUUUUUUCCCGAGGAUACGUCGGUGCACGUAGCCGGGCCAGUAGUUUCGCCUCAAGGUAUCGGGAACACGAGGAACCACCCCAGCUGACCCAGUUCAGCAGCGGAGGGAUGUAUAUGAAAAGACAACGAACCGCCGAACUUAUCAGUUGAGACGAAACGCGGCUCGGAGAGAUCAUAGCUUCCGAGUGACAACAACGAGGUGUUCCUGACACCCGUACAUAUGUCCAUCAGGACGACGCAGUUCCACCACAACGUGCACAGUCACAGAGACUCCUACCACAGCAGGGAAAGUUGGUCGAGACCUUCCACUGCAAGUCGGUGAGACGAGCUGCAUCGCUGGAUGAGCCGGACUAGACGUCCGUGUGCCUUAUAAAGUCGGGAAGAAGGGAACCCAGAACGGCGCCGUCGAAAGGAGGAAGGCAACGAGAGAAGAGUGCCAGACGAGCAGCAGAUCUAGAGCAGCCAAUCGAUUGCGCUGCUACAACCAUAGUAAACCUAAAACUAUUUAGAGAAUUCACAGACUGGUUUUGAGUUGAUUUAUACCAUGACUAUGUAUUUUAAUGUACCAGGUAUACAUUGUAAAGUAGUAGUUGAUUGUACAUGUAUAUCAAAGAAGCGUAGAACAGCGACGAUGGACCGAAUCAAACCUGAGGUGGAUAUAGUAAUGGAGAAAGCCCCCAUUGGAAUAUCCAUUACAAUUAUUCUGUAUCCAACCUGUGACCGAAGUUAGCGGGGUCAGCAUUAUGUAGUAACGUCAAACACAGUCUCCCGUGCCCAGUGUACGGAAAACCUUGUCUCUGCGUUCUUCCUUUAUUCUAGCUGUGCUAGUCCUUGUCUUCAAAGUAGAAUCUAAACCACUUGAAAUCCAUUGCUUUCAUGACUUGUUUGAAAUAUGUGACUUAUUAACCUUUCAAAAUCAAACUUUAUUUAAUAUGUAUCUAUAUAGCAGGUAUAACUGCCCUUCGGCGUAACACACCAGCUUCAAUUCCAAACGACAACCACCUGAAAGCACAUCACUUCAUAUUUUAUA